AAACAGGAUGCAAGGCUUGCCAAUUAAGAGCGCGAUCGAUAGCUAGUGUGGGUUACGGCUACAGGGCGAUCGUACUGUUGAGAGACACAGCACCUGGACUGAGCCCGUCAGACUCUACGGAGCAGCAGGGGAUUUGACAUGGGGAAACUGAUCCAGCAUCCGCGUGUGCGAUGAAGCUCGGGUGUAAAGCACUUUUGCAGAAAGAACGUCAUGGGUUAUACCCUGUGAAACUGACGGUACCUGCAGAAUAAGCACCGGCUAACUACGUGCCAGCAGCGCGGUAAUACGUAGGGUGCAAGCGUUAAUCGGAAUUACUGGGCGUAAAGCGUGCGCAGGCGGUUCGGAAAGAAAGAUGUGAAAUCCCAGAGCUUAACUUUGGAACUGCAUUUUUAACUACCGAGCUAGAGUGUGUCAGAGGGAGGUGGAAUUCCGCGUGUAGCAGUGAAAUGCGUAGAUAUGCGGAGGAACACCGAUGGCGAAGGCAGCCUCCUGGGAUAACACUGACGCUCAUGCACGAAAGCGUGGGGAGCAAACAGGAUUAGAUACCCUGAUAGUCCACGCCCUAAACGAUGUCAACUAGCUGUUGGGGCCUUCGGGCCUUAGUAGCGCAGCUAACGCGUGAAGUUGACCGCCUGGGGAGUACGGUCGCAAGAUUAAAACUCAAAGGAAUUGACGGGGACCCGCACAAGCGGUGGAUGAUGUGGAUUAAUUCGAUGCAACGCGAAAAACCUUACCUACCCUUGACAUGUCUGGAAGGCCGAAGAGAUUUGGCUGUGCUCGCAAGAGAACUGGAACACAGGUGCUGCAUGUCUGUCGUCAGCUCGUGUCGUGAGAUGUUGGGUUAAGUCCCGCAACGAGCGCAACCCUUGUCAUUAGUUGCUACGAAAGGGCACUCUAAUGAGACUGCCGGUGACAAACCGGAGGAAGGUGGGGAUGACGUCAAGUCCUCAUGGCCCUUAUGGGUAGGGCUUCACACGUCAUACAAUGGUCGGGACAGAGGGUCGCCAACCCGCGAGGGGGAGCCAAUCCCAGAAACCCGAUCGUAGUCCGGAUCGCAGUCUGCAACUCGACUGCGUGAAGUCGGAAUCGCUAGUAAUCGCGGAUCAGCAUUCGACGUUUCCCUC
rnacentral:rRNA from 1 species